rnacentral:rRNA from 1 species
UACAGAGGGUGCAAGCGUUGUUCGGAAUCACUGGGCGUAAAGCGCGCGCAGGCGGGACGACAAGUGGGGAGUGAAAUUCCGGGGCUCAACUCCGGAACUGCUUUCCAAACUGUCGACCUGGGGACCGGUAGAGGCUGGUAGAAUUCCCGGUGUAGCGGUGGAAUGCGUAGAUAUCGGGAAGAAUACCCGUGGCGAAGGCGGCCAGCUGGGCCGGAUCCGACGCUGAGGCGCGAAAGCGUGGGGAGCAAACCGG